GGUAGCUCUGUGCAGGUAGUGGGGGUAAUGCGGGUGGUGGUAGCGGUAAUCGGAAGUGCGGAGCGGAAAGCGCACGCAGGCGGGCUGUCAAGGCGGAUGUGAAAUCCCCGGGCUCAACCUGGGAACUGCAUUCGAAACUGGCAGGCUAGAGUCUUGUAGAGGGGGGUAGAAGUCCAGGUGUAGCGGUGAAAUGCGUAGAGAGCUGGAGGAAUACCGGUGGCGAAGGCGGCCCCCUGGACAAAGACUGACGCUCAGGUGCGAAAGCGUGGGGAGCAAACAGGAUUAGAUACCCCUGUAGUC
rnacentral:rRNA from 1 species